AUCCCUACAGGGAAGAUAUCAUGAUUAGGAAGGUAGUUUUGCCACAGGUGAGGGUCAUCUUGGCAUUUCAGGUGUGCAACAGACCCCUGCAAUUUUUCACAAAAGCAAGAAACUCAGCUGCAUGAUUUGUGAUAAUGAGGGACUACCCUGA
rnacentral:snRNA from 1 species